rnacentral:rRNA from 1 species
UACGUAGGGGGCAAGCGUUGUCCGGAAUCAUUGGGCGUAAAGCGCGCGUAGGCGGCCAGAUUAGUCCGGUGUGAAAGUCAGAGGCUCAACCUUUGAAUGCCGCUGGAAACUGUCUGGCUUGAGUCCGGAAGGGGCGAGUGGAAUUCCUGGUGUAGAGGUGAAAUUCGUAGAUAUUCGGAAGAACACCAGUGGCGAAGGCGACUCACUGGCCCGUUACUGACGCUGAGGCGCGAAAGCGUGGGGAGCAAACAGG